AAAAAAAAAAGAACCUAACAGAACCUAGACAGUUCCUGAUGGUUUCAAGAUCCUAGAUGGCAUUUAGGCCAAAAGUUUUCUUGCCAUGGACUAAAUCCAUGGACUAACAGCUUAAGUUCAGAAAAUGAUUUUUUGCACAGUCCGGAAUUCAAGAGUGUGCUGUACUAACCCAGAUGACUCCUCAGCAGAAGCAAACAUUCCAUCUUCUCUCUGCGUUAAACUUGGGUGGAGGGCCUGGGAGGAUUGGUUUAGGACGUGGACAUAGAUGCAAACUUAACAUAUCAUCUUCAGAGUGAAAUUCAGCGGAAACAACAGAGUAUAUUUUAUACUAGCUCCCGGUGUUGAAUUUUCUGUAAUUGAUAGAGACUGCAUUGGUUCUGCAAGAUUUUCUCAAAACCGUGGGUUACGAGAAAUACUCACUGCAGUUCUGAGAAGGAACACUAAAACAUUCAUCUGGUGACAACACCAGAAUAUGUAUGCAUGCCUCCUGUGCUGCCUGCUUCAGGGGCACUACCAAUUUCAGUGUGUAAGUUCUGAAAUGUUUCUUUUUAAGAAGUUAAACAUGUUCCUAAUAGCAUACCUUUUCUUCUG
rnacentral:lncRNA from 1 species